rnacentral:rRNA from 1 species
GAGAAGAGCUUGCUCUUCGAUUCAGCGGCGGACGGGUGAGUAAUGCCUAGGAAUCUGCCUGGUAGUGGGGGACAACGUUUCGAAAGGAACGCUAAUACCGCAUACGUCCUACGGGAGAAAGCAGGGGACCUUCGGGCCUUGCGCUAUCAGAUGAGCCUAGGUCGGAUUAGCUAGUUGGUGAGGUAAUGGCUCACCAAGGCGACGAUCCGUAACUGGUCUGAGAGGAUGAUCAGUCACACUGGAACUGAGACACGGUCCAGACUCCUACGGGAGGCAGCAGUGGGGAAUAUUGGACAAUGGGCGAAAGCCUGAUCCAGCCAUGCCGCGUGUGUGAAGAAGGUCUUCGGAUUGUAAAGCACUUUAAGUUGGGAGGAAGGGCAGUAAGUUAAUACCUUGCUGUUUUGACGUUACCAACAGAAUAAGCACCGGCUAACUCUGUGCCAGCAGCCGCGGUAAUACAGAGGGUGCAAGCGUUAAUCGGAAUUACUGGGCGUAAAGCGCGCGUAGGU